rnacentral:sRNA from 1 species
AGACCCUGGCUCUGAACGAGCGCAUCAUGCUCUCGCUCGUCAGCACUGGGGACUGCCCAUUCAUUGUCUGCAUGUCAUACGCGUUCCACACUCCAGACAAGCUCAGCUUCAUCCUAGACCUCAUGAACGGUGGGGACCUGCACUACCACCUGUCCCAGCACGGGGUCUUCUCAGAGGCUGACAUGCGCUUCUAUGCGGCCGAGAUCAUCCUGGGCCUGGAGCACAUGCACAACCGCUUCGUGGUCUACCGGGACCUGAAGCCGGCCAACAUCCUUCUGGACGAGCAUGGCCACGUGCGGAUCUCGGACCUGGGCCUGGCCUGCGACUUCUCCAAGAAGAAGCCCCAUGCCAGCGUGUGAGUGCCCCCCACCCUCUCCCUCCCCACCCCUUGCCACUCCCGCUCAUGGCCCCCUUGCUCUCACAGGGGCACCCACGGGUACAUGGCUCCAGAGGUCCUGCAGAAGGGCGUGGCCUACGACAGCAGUGCCGACUGGUUCUCUCUGGGAUGCAUGCUCUUCAAGUUGCUGCGGGGGCACAGCCCCUUCCGGCAGCACAAGACCAAAGACAAGCAUGAGAUCGACCGCAUGACGCUGACGAUGGCCGUGGAGCUGCCCGACUCCUUCUCCCCUGAAUUACGCUCCCUGCUGGAGGGGUUGCUGCAGAGGGAUGUCAACCGGAGACUGGGCUGCCUGGGCCGAGGUACCCUCCCCCGCUGAUCCCCCCACGAGGGGAGGUGAACGCAGCCGACGCCUUCGACAUUGGCUCCUUCGAUGAGGAGGACACAAAAGGAAUCAAGUUACUGGACAGUGAUCAGGAGCUCUACCGCAACUUCCCCCUCACCAUCUCGGAGCGGUGGCAGCAGGAGGUGGCAGAGACUGUCUUCGACACCAUCAAUGCUGAGACAGACCGGCUGGAGGCUCGCAAGAAAGCCAAGAACAAGCAGCUGGGCCAUGAG